UACAGAGGUCCCAAGCGUUGUUCGGAUUUACUGGGCGUAAAGGGUGCGUAGGUGGCGAAGUAAGUUCGAUGUGAAAUCUCCGAGCUCAACUCGGAAAUGGCAUUGAAUACUAUUUUGCUCGAGGGUCGGAGGGGAGACUGGAAUUCUCGGUGUAGCGGUGAAAUGCGUAGAUAUCGAGAGGAACACCAGUGGCGAAGGCGAGUCUCUGGACGACACCUGACACUGAGGCACGAAAGCUAGGGGAGCAAACAGG
rnacentral:rRNA from 1 species